rnacentral:tRNA from 1 species
AUGUUGGUGGUUCACUGGUAGAAUGCUUGCCUUCCUUGCAGGAGAUCUGGGUUUAAUUCCUGGUCAAUGUA